CUCAAUUUUGUAUUUUGACUGUUGAAGUUACUCGGAUGAGUAAUGAAACGCCUCAGAUUAACAAACUUGGGUCCAUUGCCUUGAUUUAAACUUUUUUUUUUUUAGAGACUAGGCCUGAAGCAUACUAGGCCUGGGCCCUGUAUGAAAUUGCAGAUUGGUUUCACUCCAGCAGUAUUUUAAGAUAUGAAAUUGCACAUUUCUGUAACAACCCAACUCUGCAUAAACUAAGCCAGCAUUAAUACAUCUGGGUUUUGUUUGCCAAAAAAAAAUGUAUUGAAAUAUGAUGAUGGAGUUUUCAUUGACAUGUUUCAGGCCUAGUCAUAUCUGAUUGGCAUAACCAAAAUAACCAUAACUACUAAUAAAUUAGAAAAGAUAAAAGAAAAUGAGAGAAAAGACAAAGAAGGGAUAGAAACCCAGAUGACCCCUGAGUAAACGAAAAAGGGGGAAGGAGGAGGAAAAGGGAAAAAAAGUGUUAUUAUAAAAAUGUAUAGUAAGGAUGAUAUUUGUACAACCAGCAAAAUGGAAAAGAAACUGUAAGGAGAAUAUAAAUAAAUAGAUAAUUGGGAUUGCUGAAAUACCAUAUUGAAAAUACAUGAAUGGAAAGUAAACACAAUAAUGGAGACGGGAUGAAGAGAGGAAUAGAGGAGCAGAGUGGUAGAGGAAAAAGAGGGAAGGAGAGAGAAGGAGAGAGAAGAAAGGGAAAAGGAGAGGAAGAAAGAGGGGAAAUGAGAGUAGGAGAGAAGGUUAGGAAGGGAGGAAGAAGAGAGAAGUGGGAGAAGGGAAAGGGAAGGAGAGGGGGAAGGAGAGGAGGAAGAGGAAAGUUGAAAAGGAUAGGAGUAGAGAGGGAAAGGAAAGAGAAAAUAAGGAGAGAAAGGGUUGUUGUGGUAUAAAGAAGAGAUGGAAGAGUAGAAGAGCAGUCCAGAAUAUAUAAUAUUUUAACUACUGAAGGCAGAAAAAUGAAUUAAUAGGGAAACUAAAGAUAAUAGGUAUGAUUAAUACUGGUUAAGAGUAUUUAUGAGAAAGAAAAAUAAAAAAAAUUCAAAAAACCCCCACAAAAUAACCAUAACUGAUUGAAAGAGUUGCUCAGUGCUAAAAGAGUAUGGCUAAGUUGUGUACUGUAUAUUGCAUUUUGCUAAGUAAAAAGAAACCAAUUGGGCUUCAGUGCUGCGCAGCUCACCCCACUGACCCACAACAGAGCCGAUCUGUGAAGAUGGAAAUGUGAAGAUUGGUCACAAAGCUACUUUUUCAUCAGUGUCAUAACCAAGAAUGAACUGAGACUGAAAAGUGUUAAACAAAUAUUUUUGAUGUAUUCAAAACACAGCUUGCUGCUAAAAGGUUAAAAUGUUAGUGACAGAGGAUGAAGAGAUGACAUUCCCAAUUGUGACUUCCUGAAGUAGAGAGUCAUCAACGGAAACAUGUCUAUUUCUCUCCCAGAAACGGAAAGACGAAUUUUACCAUCCUGGUCAGCCACCUUUCUCCCACAGAAGGGUAGAGAUUCGAGAUGGGAGCAGAAGUCGUCAAUUCUGUGUUUCCAAGCUGUUAUCAGGCCCUCUUCUCAGUCACUGUUGAGAUCUCCUGCGAAAAGAAAUUGAUGAAGUACAAUCAAAAUUAACUUUUAAGGCAUUAUACAAUCUCCCUUACAGAGGUUGUUCUACUUGCUUACUAUCAUUGUAAGAUACUUACAGUGUUCACUCUGUUAUCGCUUUCUGAUAGUUUUCACAUUUUCUUCUUAUACUCAUACUCCCUUUCCUCAUCUCAGUCACCAUCUCCUGGCAAAAAAAUAACAAAAAAAACCUAGAACUUGUACAGUCAAACUUAAGAUGAAAUAAAUCACUUUUGCUUUUAGAACAAAAAUAAUUAAAAUGUUUUUAAGUUAAAAUAAUACUCAUUUUCUGGAUUUUCCCUCAGUUUGUUCUGCAAUUCCUUAUAAAUUAAGCCAUUUCUCUGGCUAAGCAGUUGUUCUCUUUUUCCAACUAAGAUGUAGAAAUUAGAAGAAGCAUGCAUCAGUCAUAGAAUAUAAAUAUGCAGACAAAAAGAGGAGCUUAAAACAGGAUUGUAAGGGAAAUGAAUGACCUACAGCUCUUAUGGUGACAUCUUUUUCUGCCAGCUCCCUUUCUUGAAGCAACGUAAGUUCUUCUAUGCGCUUCAUUUCUGUAUUUGUAUGGGAAAACACUUGUGCUAUUAAACAAUAUUCACAAAAGACAUUACAUAUUAACCCACCAACAACACUGAAAGUUAAGACUGGCCAUUAAAUAGAAGGGUCAGCGGUGAUGCAGAGGGAGGAUUGCCUUUGUAUCCUCACAUCUGCUACAGAUUCUCACACAAACAAAAUAGUUGGUUUCUUUGAUGUUGUCUGUAUUUCUGCAGAUAGACCUCAUAUUUCUUUUUCAGCCUUCAUACUCCCUUUCGUCUCUGUCAGCAUCUCCUGGCAAAAAAUAACAAAAGAACUAGAACUUGUACAGCCAAAUUUAAGAUGACAUAAAUCACUUUUGUUUUUAAAAUGAAAACAAUUAAAAUGUAGUUAAGCUAAAAUAAUA